AAUAAACGCUGGCGGCGUGCUUAACACAUGCAAGUCGAACGAGAUAGUUUCUUCGGAAACGUGUAAAGUGGCGAACGGGUGAGUAACGCGUGAGAAUUUGCCUUUCAGUGGAGAAUACCCCCGAGAAAUCGGGUUUAAUACUGCAUACGUCCCUUCGGGGAGAAAGAUGGCCUCUUGCUGUCGCUGAAUAGAUAAGCUCGCGUACUAUUAGCUAAGUUGGUGGGGUAAAGGCUCACCAAGGCUUUGAUGGUUAGCCGACCUGAGAGGGUGUACGGCCACACUGGAACUGAGAUACGGUCCAGACUCCUACGGGAGGCAGCAGUGGGGAAUCUUGGACAAUGGGCGAAAGCCUGAUCCAGCGACGCCGCGUGGAGGAUGAAGGUUUUCGGAUUGUAAACUCCUGUUAAGUGGGACGAAAAGCUCGCAAGUAAUAUGUGCGAGUGUUGACGGUACUACUAGAGAAAGCUCCGGCUAACUUCGUGCCAGCAGCCGCGGUAAUACGAGGGGAGC
rnacentral:rRNA from 1 species